rnacentral:rRNA from 1 species
UACGUAGGGUGCAAGCGUUGUCCGGAAUUAUUGGGCGUAAAGAGCUCGUAGGCGGUUUGUUGUCGUCGGCUGUGAAAUCCCGAGGCUCAACCUCGGGUCUGCAGUCGAUACGAGCAAACUAGAGUGUUGCAGGGGAGACUGGAAUUCCUGGUGUAGCGGUGAAAUGCGCAGAUAUCAGGAGGAACACCGGUGGCGAAGGCGGGUCUCUGGGCAACAACUGACGCUGGAGGAGCGAAAGCGUGGGGAGCGAACAGG